rnacentral:rRNA from 1 species
CGGUGUUCAACUGGCGUGUCCGCGGGACGUCCUGCCGGUGGGCUUAGCCCGCAAGGGCGGCCCAACUUCAAAUCCCAUCGCGGUGCUCUUCACUGAGUGUCGAGGUGGGCCGGCACGUUUACUUUGAACAAAUUAGAGUGCUUAAAGCAGGCUAAAACUUCGCCUGAAUACUGUGUGCAUGGAAUAAUGGAAUAGGACCUCGGUUCUAUUUUGUUGGUUUUCGGAACCCCGAGGUAAUGAUUAAUAGGAACGGAUGGGGGCAUUCGUAUUGCGACGUUAGAGGUGAAAUUCUUGGAUCGUCGCAAGACGGACAGAAGCGAAAGCAUUUGCCAAAAACGCUUUCAUUGAUCAAGAACGAAAGUUAGAGGUUCGAAGGCGAUCAGAUACCGCCCUAGUUCUAACCAUAAACGAUGCCAGCUAGCGAUCCGUCGACGUUCCUCCGAUGACUCGACGGGCAGCUUCCGGGAAACCAAAGCUUUUGGGUUCCGGGGGAAGUAUGGUUGCAAAGCUGAAACUUAAAGGAAUUGACGGAAGGGCACCACCAGGAGUGGAGCCUGCGGCUUAAUUUGACUCAACACGGGAAACCUCACCAGGCCCGGACACCGGAAGGAUUGACAGAUUGAGAGCUCUUUCUUGAUUCGGUGGGUGGUGGUGCAUGGGCCGUUCUUAGUUGGUGGAGCGAUUUGUCUGGUUAAUUCCGAUAACGAACGAGACUCUAGCCUGCUAACUAGACGUAUUUUCGACAUCUCAAAGGUCCGUCGUCCCGGCCCUCGGGUCGUGGGCGUGCGCGAUUUUUACUGUCGGCGUACUAUCAAUUCUUCUUAGAGGGACAGGUGGCUUCUAGCCGCACGAGAUUGAGCAAUAACAGGUCUGUGAUG